CGGUUUCGGGCGCGCCGAGCGGGAAUUUCCAGCCCCUAUGUCAACAGCGGCGCGGCACGCUGUAGUGGCGGUCCUCCGGCCGCACGGCGGCGCUGCGGAGGCCGCCCGGUAACUAGGUGGCGCUGCCGAGCUCGGCCAACCACGGAAAGGCUCCCAACCCGCUCCCCGGCUGGCUGGCAACCUGCAUGUGAGAAACCAAUGGAUGUAUCAAUGUCUUCUGAUCAAGAGAUUCCAUCUGGUCCAGAAGAACAUGUGGAAGUUGAAGUAUCUGUUUUCCAGAUAGAAAGGGAGGAACCUGAAGAUGCAAUCAUACGAAUUAGACUGGGUAAUCGAUUACGGCAAAGAAGGCGACGGCAGCGUCUUCGUGCUGCCAGAAGUGAAGCAGAGAGAGUGGAACCAUUGCAAAAUGAAUGUCCAUUACAGGUUACUGCAAAUGAAACGGAACAACCUGAAACUCAUUCAGAGAUUUUGCAGUUGAACCAAGAAGGACAGCUUGAAAGCCUUCCUAAUGGUAACAAUGCUGAGUCUUCCACUGUUGUGGAUACUGCUGAUCAACUGGAAGAAAAUAGAGAGACUAUCGAUUUACGUGAUUUUGAGCGAAUUCUGAGACGUCGAGAGAGUAUACGCUUGAGUCAACGAAGGCGGCGAGAACGUCUUCGUAACUUGAGUCGUAGUCUUGAAUCUCCUGAUCCACUUGCAAGAUGUCGAAACAUGAUCCUGGGCUUUAGGAUAUCUGAGCUUCAAGCACUUUUAAGGUUUGCAGGACGUAACAAAAGUGGGAUGAAACAUGAAUUGGUGUCACGGGCAUUACAGCUGGUCAGGACCAACUGCUCAUCGGAGAUUUUAAAGAAGAUCCAAGACUUGCAUGCUCAGCGGAACAGUUCAGCUUCAAAUGCACAGAGUCAACAGCUUCUGUCUGCACCAACAUUUCCUUUGCAUUCUUCAGAAGCAGCCCUGAAUGCAAGAACGUCAGUUCCAAUUUGUCACCCAGGAAAAGAUGAUACAAAGUCUAAAGUGCGAUUAACAAAAUUGCCAUUCUACGAAAUUUUAGAUGAUCUCAUGAAACCUACGGAUCUAGUCCCAACCAGCAGUGAGAGGAUUCAGGAAAAUCAGUUCAGUUUUACAUUAACAGAGAAGCAGAGAGAGCAGAUUGUUGCUGGAUGCUGUAAAAAUGGUGUGCAGUCAGUUCAAGUUCAGUUAAGGAUUUGUCACACAGAUACAGAAUUUAUUCAGGAAGACCAGUAUCCUCCCUACCUGUCAGUAAAAGUAAACUCAAGAGUGUGUCCUUUCACGAGUUACUUUUCAUCAAAUAAGCCUGGAGUAGAACCAAAAAGACCUUGUCGACCCAUUGAUGUUACACCUCUUCUCAAUCUGACAUCUCGUGGAGCUAACUACUUAAAUGUAUUUUGGGGCCAUUUUGCUAAGCGAUAUUCUGUGGUAUUAUACCUGGUAAGGCAGCACAGAGUUUCAGAAUUACUGCACAAACUUCAAGCAAAUGAAACCAGAGCCUCUGAAAUUUCCAGGGAAUUAAUUCGCAAAAAGCUUCGACUGGAACCUGAUAAUGAUGUUACCACAACUGGUCUUCGUGUCUCUCUCAUGUGUAGCCUUGGCAAGAUGCGCCUUUCAGUGCCCUGCCGUGGGAUUACCUGCACACAUUUACAGUGUUUUGAUGCAGCUCUUUAUAUUCAGAUGAAUGAAAAAAAGCCUACAUGGAUGUGUCCUGUGUGUGACAAGCCAGCCCCUUAUGAACUGUUGUUUGUAGAUCAACUGUACCUCUUGCGUGACCAGCUUCAGGUCGGGAGGCAGUUGGACAAAGCAUCUCUAACCCAUCAGCACCAGGCUGUUUUUAGAUAUAUUGAAGGAGUGUGAAGAUGCUACUGAGGUUCAGUUUAAGGAUGAUGGCAGCUGGUCUCCAAUAAAGCCAGAAAAACAGCCUCAGAAGAACUUUGGAACCAAAUGUUCAAUAGUGGAAUUAGAAGACUCCAGCAACAAUCAAUUUAGUAGUCCUGCGAAUGGCAAGAGUGAUAUUGAUGUAAUUGACCUGACUGUAGACUGAUGGCGAAGAUCGGCUAUUCCAAAAUGAAUGUUGCUGUGAAUGUUGGAGAGAGUUCACCAAACGUGCAGGACACAUUGUGGAAAGACCCAUUGAAAGAAGUCUACCUCUAGCAUUGUAGGCUUUACUUCCUCCGAGGACCUCCAGCCGCGUCUACCUCUUGAAAGGAUUGGUACAGUAAAAGAUAACAAAUAAAAUGCUUGGAGAAAUGA